rnacentral:misc_RNA from 1 species
AAACCUCGGAUCGACGCUUCGCCCGAAGCUCGGUUCGGACUAUGGGAGUCUGCUGGCGAAGCGUGACUUCGUCGGCUCUCCUCAAAAGCAUUAGCUGUGGGUGGCGAGCCUGGCAUGGCACGGCCUGUUCGACGUCGUAGUGAUCGUCGCGGGCUGGAAGUGUACGGCUCGACGUGACCCAUGCUUCUCGAGUCUUGCGAGCCCGUCCCUCCGUGGGACGGCCGCGCCCCAUCGAA